rnacentral:rRNA from 1 species
CCUACGGGGGGCAGCAGUCGAGAAUUAUUCACAAUGGGGGAAACCCUGAUGGUGCGACGCCGCGUGGGGGAAUGAAGGUCUUCGGAUUGUAAACCCCUGUCAUGUGGGAGCAAAUUAAAAAGAUAGUACCACAAGAGGAAGAGACGGCUAACUCUGUGCCAGCAGCCGCGGUAAUACAGAGGUCUCAAGCGUUGUUCGGAAUCACUGGGCGUAAGGCGUGCGUAGGCUGUUUCGUAAGUCGUGUGUGAAAGGCGCGGGCUCAACCCGCGGACGGCACAUGAUACUGCGAGACUAGAGUAAUGGAAGGGGAACCGGAAUUCUCGGUGUAGCAGUGAAAUGCGUAGAUAUCGAGAGGAACACUCGUGGCGAAGGCGGGUUCCUGGACAUUAACUGACGCUGAGGCACGAAGGCCAGGGGAGCGAAAGGGAUUAGAUACCCCAGUAGUC